UGCAUUCAUGUGGAUGGAGAAUUUGUGUGUUAAUAUUAGCUCCUAUUCGAUUAAUCAUAUCCAUGGGUGGUGUGAUGAUGAGGAAACUAGAGAGCAUUGGGGUAUAACCGACAUCUAUGGUUACCUUGAAGAACAAAACAAGUGGAAAACGUGGCUAUUGGUUGGAUCUUUGGCAAGGCAUAAUCAGGGGGCGAUGGCUUUGUUGUGGGGAUUUUAAUGAUAUACUAGAUUCAUAAGAGAAGCAAGUGAGGAAUGUUAGAAGCCAGUCUCAACUCUCAAUAGGGAGACAGAUAGUUGCUAAAAGCUCUUUAAUUGACUUGGGGUUUGAGCGCUAUCCUUUCACGUGGUCUAAUGGUAGAGAGGAGGGGGCGAAAGUGCAAUGCCGUCUGGAUAGAGCUUUGGCAAAUGUGGAGUUCAUUAACCGUUUCUCUCCAAUAAGGGUUAGUCAUUUAACGCGUUUUGGGUCUGAUCAUGCUGCUGUUCUAAUCUGUCUUGAGAGUCCUUUAUUGAGUAUGUCGAGAAGAAGAAGGAAAAUUUCCAAUUUGAGGAGAGUUGGAAUAAAGAAGCUCAAUGUGAAGAGAUUAUUAGAAACAACUGGAACCUUUCAUCUUUGUCUUGUUUAAAGAAGUUAGAGAGCUUACAAUCUUUGGGUAGUGAAUUUGGAGACCAUAACUUGGGAAUGAUUAAGAAAGAGCUGUUACGGAUCGAAGAGAGAUUAAAGGAUCAAUCGUUGUGGUCAGACUCCAUUGAUGACCAUCACAGGUACAAAGAGCCUGAGAAACAACACGGCGAGCUAUUAAAAAGACAAGAAACAAUGUGGAGGCAACGUAGUAGGGCUGUGUGGUUAAAAAAUGGAGAUCGAAAUACUAAAUUUUUCCAUAACAAAGCCAGCCAACGAUCUAAGGUAAAUAACAUUCAAAAGAUCAUAGAUGAGGAUGGUGUGUGGUGGCGUGGAGAAGAGCAGGUGGAGAAAGUGUUUAUUAAUUAUUUUGAAGAUCUCUUUUCGUCCUCAAAUCCCUCCAAUAUUGCAGAAUGUGAAAUGGUUAAAGGAAAGCUCUCUAACAACCAUAAGACUUGGUGUGAGAUGGAAUAUACUAGAGAAGAAGUCAAAUAAGCCAUACAUCAGAUGCAUCCCCUUAAAGCAUCGGGCCUGGAUGGUCUUCCAGCUCUUUUCUUUCAAAAAUAUUGGCAUAUUGAAGGUGAUGAGGUUCAGCUCUUAGUUCUUAACAUUUUGAAUCAAAAUAGUCAGCCCCAUGAUAUCAACAAGACUUUCUUGGUUCUUAUUCCCAAAUGUAAAAAUCCUUCAUCUC